UGAGAUAAAAGUUCUCUGUCACAUGUGGAAAACAGACUGACUUGGCUUGGAAACUCUCUGAAGACAGAUGAUAUGGAAGGACAGAGAAGGGACUGGUCGAUGAAACGGCUCACCCACCGACGGAGGCAAAGCAUACCGUUUUCAGGACAACAUACUGCAUCUCAGAAAGCACUUUCCAGAGACCACCAAUCUGAAGCUUAUCUCCACUGAACCUCUUGUUAGCACCAUUUUAAAGCCAGGAGUCUAGCAGAGGCCACUCGACGCAUCUCCCCAGCUGGUGGAGUCCUUCCCUGUGGCGCGGGCACUGUGAGG